CGCCUCGGUCGUUUAUUGGCCAUGGAACAAUCUAUAGCAGGAAAUAUAAAAAAGGGUCUGAACAAAAGAUUGCACGUAAUUGCCUUGACAUUUUUGCAUUAUAACCAGCUCCAUGAUGUUUGACUACGUGUGAUCAAUUCGUGUGUUUACACUGGAGUCUGAGUCUGUUGUUCCUCGUUUACUGCUCGGGAGAGAGCAGCUUCGGCCUUCACGAUUGAGCAGCUUUUCUCUACAGCGCCACCCCAGCCCUGGCGCCGAAGUACACGGUCGCCACAGAUGGUGAUGCAAGAAAUGUGAACAUCGAGCAUUUCGGACCUUUCCGCAUCUGCAUUAGGCAAGAACCAGAUCUUAGCAAGUGUCACGGUGUCGUUGCGACUUAACGCACUCGCUGAAUAGCUUCUGAUGUAAAAUGGGCUUUAAUGUGAGGCAAUGGUACUGCUAUGCCUUUUAUUUGGAGCUGAAGCCCCCUCUAAAGGCUUUUAUUCCCGCAAAUAAAUGUACAUUAUUAGUUAUAUCGCAAA